GGAAGGAUCAUUAACACUUUAAAUUUCUACCUGAAAUUAGUUCUUGAGGGGGAUAGCAGGGGGUUUGAGGAUGAAUUUAUUCCUCUCUCUUUCCACCUGCUGCCCCUCAUUUUUAUAACCAAACCUGGUUAUAAAACCCUAGAUAAACAAGGAUUCUUAAUUAAAAAAAGAAAAUUUUCAACGAUGGAUAUCUAGGCUCCCAUAACGAUGAAGAACGCAGCGAAAUGCGAUACGCAAUGCGAAUUGCAGAAUUCCGCGAGUCAUCAGAUCUUCGAACGCAACUGGCGCUGGCGUUGAGCCAGCAUGGUUGGUUCAGUGUGUUAGAAAUAUCCCAAAUCUCAAUGCGAUUGAAGCCGGCCUGCUCCCCCAUUUAAAAUGGGUUCAUGGGCUGCCUCUCUCGUGAAAUUUGAGGGGGACCGAGGCUUUCCCGUCCCUCCCUCGAAGUAGUCUCAUUUCACAAUGAGAUCUCGAAGGAGAGGUAUAGGGGCCUCACUUAAAGGUCUUCCUUCUAAACAACAACAAACAUUAUUUCUCACGACACCUGAGCCACCCAAGAUCACCCGCUGAACUUAAGCAUAUCAGUAAGCGGAGGAAAAGAAACUAACAAGGAUUGCCUCAGUAGCGGCGAGUGAACAGGCAAAAGCUCAAGUUCGAAUCUGCGGCAUAGAGUCGUAGAAUUGUAAUCUAAAGGGUCUUUCCGAAAACAUGGCUUGCGCAUAAGUUCCUUGGAACAGGACGUCACAGAGGGUGAAAACCCCGUAGUCGGCGCGAGCUCGGUUGUAGGAAGGGUCACGGAGAGUCGGGUUGCUUGGGACUGCAGCCCUAAAUGGGAGAUAAACUUCUUCUAAGGCUAAAUAUUUAUGGGAGACCGAUAGCGAACAAGUACUGCGAAGGAAAGGUGAAAAGAACUUUGAAAAAAGGGUUAAAAGACUUGAAAUCGUUGAGAAGGAAGCAGUAGAAGAGGAAUUAUUUGGGCGCGGCGUUUGACGCGUGAACACGGAUCUGUGCCUCGUGGAGUACUUCAUCGGGCUUACGGGGCACACCGAUCACCGGGUUCUGCGGCAUUUCCGCGUUCAAAGGGCAAAAUGAGGUGCCGAGCUGCAGGAAUCACCCGGUAGGAAGUCCCUAGCACUAGUUAGGAGCCUGCCGGGAAAAACUGCAGUUAGCGCCUGAGGGGUCCUUUAUGGAGAUUUUGCCAAAAUGGCUUCUACUGACCCGUCUUGAAACACGGACCAAGGAGUCUACCACGUAUGCGAGUGUUAGGGUGGAGAAACCCGAACGCGCAGUGAAAGCAAGUACAAGAUGUGAACCCGCAAGGGCGCAGCAUCGACCGACCUUGAUCUUCUGAGAAGGGUUUGAGUAAGAGCAUAUCUGGUAGGACCCGAAAGAUGGUGAACUACGCUUGAGUAGGGUGAAGCCAGGGGAAACUCUGGUGGAGGCUCGUAGCGAUACUGACGUGCAAAUCGUUCGUCAAACUUGAGUGUAGGGGCGAAAGACUAAUCGAACCAUCUAGUAGCUGGUUCCCUC
rnacentral:misc_RNA from 1 species